CAGUAGCCGCGGUAAAACGUAGGUGGCAAGCGUUGUCCGGAAUUAUUGGGCGUAAAGGGCUCGCAGGCGGUUUCUUAAGUCUGAUGUGAAAGCCCCCGGCUCAACCGGGGAGGGUCAUUGGAAACUGGGAAACUUGAGUGCAGAAGAGGAGAGUGGAAUUCCACGUGUAGCGGUGAAAUGCGUAGAGAUGUGGAGGAACACCAGUGGCGAAGGCGACUCUCUGGUCUGUAACUGACGCUGAGGCUCGAAAGCCAGGGGAGCGAACGGGAUUAGAUACCCCAGUAGUCCCUGUCUCUUAUAC
rnacentral:rRNA from 1 species